rnacentral:rRNA from 1 species
UACAGAGGGGGCAAGCGUUAUUCGGAAUUAUUGGGCGUAAAGGGCGCGUAGGCGGCCUGGCAAGUGGAAGGUGAAAUCCCUCGGCUUAACCGAGGAACUGCCCUCCAAACUGCUUGGCUUGAGUCCGGGAGAGGUGAGUGGAAUUCCCAGUGUAGCGGUGAAAUGCGUAGAUAUUGGGAGGAACACCAGUGGCGAAGGCGGGUCUCUGGGCAGUAACUGACGCUGAGGAGCGAAAGCGUGGGGAGCGAACAGG